CAAUUUUCUACGACGUCUACUGUCAUUGAUAAUGGAUCACAGGGUAAUCCCUUUAAGCCACCAAAGACAGGAACAACUGGUUUCUUUGACUCCAUUGAAAGCUUUUGGAACCAUGUGUGGAAGACUUUUAUAGAUUUCAUCACUGGAAAAUCUUGCAG